GACGAACCGUGCAAACGUUAUUCGGAAUCACUGGGCUUAAAGGGCGCGUAGGCGGGCCGCCAGGUCCGGGGUGAAAGCCUCCAGCUCAACUGGAGAAGUGCCUUGGAUACCGGCGGCCUCGAGGGAGGCAGGGGCGUGCGGAACUUCGGGUGGAGCGGUGAAAUGCGUAGAUAUCCGAAGGAACACCGGUGGCGAAAGCGGCGCGCUGGACCUCUCUGACGCUGAGGCGCGAAAGCCAGG
rnacentral:rRNA from 1 species